rnacentral:rRNA from 1 species
UACGGAGGGUGCAAGCGUUAAUCGGAAUUACUGGGCGUAAAGCGUGCGCAGGCGGUUUGUUAAGUCUGCUGUGAAAUCCCCGAGCUCAACUUGGGAAUUGCAGUGGAUACUGGCAAGCUGGAGUACGGUAGAGGAAGGUGGAAUUCCCGGUGUAGCAGAGAAAUGCGUAGAGAUCGGGAGGAACACCAGUGGCGAAGGCGGCCUUCUGGACCAGUACUGACGCUCAUGCACGAAAGCGUGGGGAGCAGACAGG